rnacentral:rRNA from 1 species
AUUGAACGCUGGCGGAAUGCUUUACACAUGCAAGUCGAACGGCAGCAUAGGUGCUUGCACCUGAUGGCGAGUGGCGAACGGGUGAGUAAUAUAUCGGAACGUGCCCAGUCGUGGGGGAUAACGUAGCGAAAGCUACGCUAAUACCGCAUACGAUCUACGGAUGAAAGCGGGGGACCUUCGGGCCUCGUGCGAUUGGAGCGGCCGAUAUCAGAUUAGGUAGUUGGUGGGGUAAAGGCUCACCAAGCCAACGAUCUGUAGCUGGUCUGAGAGGACGACCAGCCACACUGGGACUGAGACACGGCCCAGACUCCUACGGGAGGCAGCAGUGGGGAAUUUUGGACAAUGGACGCAAGUCUGAUCCAGCCAUUCCGCGUGCAGGACGAAGGCCUUCGGGUUGUAAACUGCUUUUGUACAGAACGAAAAGGUUUCUACUAAUACUAGGGGCUCAUGACGGUACUGUAAGAAUAAGCACCGGCUAACUACGUGCCAGCAGCCGCCGUAA